CCUACGGGAGGCAGCAGUAGGGAAUCUUCCACAAUGGUCGAAAGCCUGAUGGAGCAACGCCGCGUGGGUGAAGAAGGUCUUCGGAUCGUAAAACCCUGUUGUUAGAGAAGAAAGGGCGUGAGAGUAACUGUUCACGUUUCGACGGUAUCUAACCAGAAAGCCACGGCUAACUACGUGCCAGCAGCCGCGGUAAUACGUAGGUGGCAAGCGUUAUCCGGAUUUAUUGGGCGUAAAGGGAACGCGGGCGGUCUUUUAAGUCUGAUGUGAAAGCCUUCGGCUUAACCGGAGUAGUGCAUUGGAAACUGGGAGACUGGAGUGCAGAAGAGGAGAGUGGAACGCCAUGUGUAGCGGUGAAAUGCGUAGAUAUAUGGAAGAACACCAGUGGCGAAAGCGGCUCUCUGGUCUGUAACUGACGCUGAGGUUCGAAAGCGUGGGUAGCAAACAGGAUUAGAUACCCUUGUAGUC
rnacentral:rRNA from 1 species